rnacentral:misc_RNA from 1 species
UCUCCCGUGAGGGAGCAGUCUCGCCUGACACUAAUGUAACAGGCAACGGGGGUUGCGUUCGUUACCCCACUGAAGGGAACAGCUCAAGCCACGAACUGACGACGACCAUGCAUCACCUGUCCAGCACCCUCGAAGGCUCACUUCCUUUCGGAUGCGAUGCAGCUGGAUUUCUAACCCUGGUAAGGUUCUUCGUUUGUCAACGAAUUAAGCCGCAUGAUCCACCGCUUGUGCGAGUCCCCGUCUAUUCCUUUGAGUUUUAAGCUUGCGCUCGUACUACCCAGGCGGCUCGCUUACCGCGUUAGCUUAGUCCCGCAGAGGGUCGAUACUCCGCAGAACGAGCGAGCAGCGUUUAGGGCCAGGACUAC